UGACCAAGCAACGCCGCGUGGGUGAUGAAGUCUCUUGGGACGUAAAACCCUUUCGACGGGGAAGAAACCGCAAGGUUGACGGUACCCGUAGAAGAAGCCCCGGCUAACUCCGUGCCAGCAGCCGCGGUAAUACGGGGGGGGCAAGCGUUGUUCGGAAUUACUGGGCGUAAAGGGUGCGUAGGCGGUGCGCUAAGUCGGAUGUGAAAACUCUGGGCUCAACCCAGAGCCUGCAUCCGAAACUGGCGUGCUAGAGUUCUGGAGGGGGUAGCGGAAUUCCUGGUGUAGCGGUGAAAUGCGUAGAUAUCAGGAGGAACACCGGUGGCGAAGGCGGCUACCUGGACAGAAACUGACGCUGAGGCACGAAAGCUAGGGGAGCAAACAGGAUUAGAUACCCUGGUAGUCCUAGCCCUAAACGAUGGAUACUUGGUGUGACUGGGAUUGAAUCCAGUCGUGCCGAAGCUACGCAUUAAGUAUCCCGCCUGGGGAGUACGGUCGCAAGGCUGAAACUCAAAGGAAUUGAACG
rnacentral:rRNA from 1 species